AAAACUUAAAGGACGCGGUAACCUUGACCGUGAUAAUGUAGCAUAAUCAUUCGCCAUUUAAUUGAUGGAUAGUAUGAAUGGUUGAACGAAUAUUUCACUGUCUUAAGAAGAAAUACCAAAAAAUUAGAAUAAUAGUAAAGAUACUAUUUAAAAUUGUAAGACGAAAAGACCCUAUAGAGCUUAACUACAAUUUUCCCACAAAAGAAUGAAAGAUUCACUAAAAUGAGAAGAUAGGUAGUUUAGUUGGGGCGACUGUCUUUUAAAAAAAACAAAGACAAGCAAAGUAAAUAAAAAAACUUAUUGUAUAAUAAAUUAAUUUAACAAUUAUAAAAAUAGGCUAUAAUGACCCGUUAUAAGUAUGUAACAACAAUAACGAUCAAUAAAUAAAAGCUACCUUAGGGAUAACAGGAUAAUUUUAUUUUAGAGAUCUAAUCGAAAAUAAAGUUUGUCACCUCUAUGUUGAAUUAAGA
rnacentral:rRNA from 1 species